UACGUAGGGCGCAAGCGUUGUCCGGAAUUAUUGGGCGUAAAGAGCUCGUAGGCGGCUUGUCACGUCGGGUGUGAAAGCCCGGGGCUUAACCCCGGGUCUGCAUUCGAUACGGGCUAGCUAGAGUGUGGUAGGGGAGAUCGGAAUUCCUGGUGUAGCGGUGAAAUGCGCAGAUAUCAGGAAGAACACCCGUGGCGAAGGCGGCUCUCUGGGACGGUACUGACGCUGAGACGCGAAAGCGUGGGGAGCGAACAG
rnacentral:rRNA from 1 species